GAUGAACGCUGGCGGCGUGCUUAACACAUGCAAGUCGAACGGAAAGGCCCCAGCUUGCUGGGGUACUCGAGUGGCGAACGGGUGAGUAACACGUGGGUGAUCUGCCCUGCACUUUGGGAUAAGCUUGGGAAACUGGGUCUAAUACCGAAUAUGACCACUUCUUGGAUGUUGUGGUGGAAAGCUUUUGCGGUGUGGGAUGAGCCUGCGGCCUAUCAGCUUGUUGGUGGGGUAAUGGCCUACCAAGGCGGCGACGGGUAUCCGGCCUGGGAGGGUGUACGGACACAUUGGGACUGAGAUACAGCCCAGACUCCUACGGGAGGCAGCAGUGGGGAAUAUUGCACAAUGGGCGCAAGCCUGAUGCAGCGACGCCGCGUGGGGGAUGAAGGCCUUCGGGUUGUAAACUCCUUUCGCUAUCGACGAAGCCACUUGUGGUGACGGUAGGUAGAUAAGAAGCACCGGCUAACUACGUGCCAGCAGCCGCCGUAA
rnacentral:rRNA from 1 species